UACGUAGGUGGCAAGCGUUGUCCGGAAUUACUGGGUGUAAAGGGCGUGUAGGCGGGAAUGUAAGUCAGAUGUGAAAUUCCGGGGCUCAACUCCGGGGCUGCAUCUGAAACUAUAUUUCUUGAGUGCUGGAGAGGAAAGCGGAAUUCCUAGUGUAGCGGUGAAAUGCGUAGAGAUUAGGAGGAACACCAGUGGCGAAGGCGGCUUUCUGGACAGUAACUGACGCUGAGGCGCGAAAGCGUGGGGAGCAAACAGG
rnacentral:rRNA from 1 species